rnacentral:antisense_RNA from 1 species
ACUUCAGUCUACAGAGCAAUGUUCCAUUGGAUCCUAUUACUGAGCCAUCUCCUUCGUCCCCCUUUCCGCCCCCUCCUCUAGGUUUCCGAGAGGGAGCAGCAGGGGAUUGGCGCCCGUUUCCCCGCCCGACAGCCCCCCCGACCCGUGGCCCCAUUACAGCACGUGGGCGGCGAUCCAGCAGGAGGAGGCGCAGAUCCACAGGCCGAAGGAGAUGCAGACGCGGUGGCGGGCGAAGCAGCGGUCCAGGAGUCGCUGGUGUUGAUGCUGAAAAGUUACAGGAUCUGUUCCAGGAGGAGGAUGGCAGUACAGCAGCUUACCCUACAAAGACAACAUGAAUGACAACAGUGCAGCCUAAGCGCCAUCUGUGGCCUCAGAGGAGACAGCUCCACCCAGUCACGCUCUGAUGGAGCUUUCUGCCUUCUGGUUAAGUUAGCUGAGUUGAGUUUUGGUCUACUGCAGCUGAAGAGUCCUUUUUCUAAUACAUCAAUGGUCAAAGUGUUCUAGAGACCUAGCUCUUCCCAUGGCGCCCCAGACUAGGAUGAAAUCUCUUUCUUCUUUUCUCGUUUGCAUUCCCACUUAAGUAUUCUUCAGUAUACAGACAUGAUCACACUUAUGGUGAAUAUUUUCCAAAACCAAACUCAAGACAUAACUGGACAGUUACGGUAAUGCCGGGAUAGACUGUUAAAGUCAGGAGAGUUCCUCGACUCCUGUAUGUGGGGUUGCAGUUGCUCACUGGGUGCAAGUCUGCCUCUUUCCUUCAUAAAUGAUCUGAAGGCUGUGACUAUUUUUACCUCAUCUUUACAUCCUCCACAGUAAGUGGUAAACGAAUACAUGACUUAUCCAUACCAAUAGCAUGAACUGCUUUCUUCCUGAACUGAAGGCAAGCCCAUAUGGUUGCCACUGAGCUCCAAGAGCUCCACCGAUGUGGUCUUGAGAAGAGGAGGAAAUAAAGCCAAAUCCUCACAACUGGUUA